UUCCUAUAGUUACUGAACCAUCAACGCAUGCUCCACGGUCUCUGAGCGCACACCAAGAUGGACUUGCCUCUCCUGAAAGAUAUCAACAAGCAAUCAUUUUGAUGGAAAGUUAUGGCUAGGAUUGCAAGAGUCUGGGAGCUCAAAAGAAAAGACACAGGAACUACCUAUGAGGUGGACUUCCUACUGCUUGAUCGACAGGGUGGCACAAUGGAAGGUUUGAUUGCAGAGAAGAGAUUGGCCCAAUUUACGAAGCACAUUACCGAGGGAACAAUUUAUACAAUUGAGGACUUCAAUCUAUAUGAUGCCAAGAGCAGGUCUAGAUCUUCAGAUCACCCCCUCAGGGUAUGUUUCACAUUUCGCAUUAAGCUUAAAAAAGUGGAGCCCCAACCCGUGAAUUUCCCAAUAUUUGCCCACAACGCCAGGCCAUUCUCCGUGUUGGAAGCACGUGCUGAUCAAAACCACAUCUGAUCAGAUGUUAUUGGAGUAAUCGUGCAAGUUACAGAACUUUUGCCAGGCUCCAGCACAAACCCAGAUGAUCGCUGUCAGAUCUACAUCACUAAUGGAAAGUAGGCAAACACUGUCGUUUCCUGCCACUGCACCAAUCAUAAUCUGUUUCGCCAAUAAUUUUUGCUCUUCUUAUUGUCUGACAGCCAGCGGGCUGUGGUGAGACUUUGAGGGACACACGCCACUACUUUCAACGCCGCGGGCCUCGUGGAGAGCUCUGCCACGCAGCAUAUCGUUGCUCUUUUUGUAGGUGUUACAGUGAGUCACUAUUCAGGCCAGCCAAUGUAAUGACGAGUUUUCGCCUAUUCUUCCUUCCAUCAACUUUGGUAACAUGGUACAGAUCGAUUUACGCAGGUUUACUCGCUUUCAAAUCGACAUCAGUGACCAGAUUAUAUGUCAACAUCCCAACAUCAGAAAUGGAGACCGUCAGGCACAACGUGACAGGUAUUCCGUCCCAGAUUGAAUGGUCUGGUAACCAUCGAGCAAGAAAAGAUCCGGUAGAUGCAAGAAUAGCACAAAUUGCUGAGCUUGAACCCAACCACAUCAUGGUCGAACGCUACAGACUUUCAGUUCUUGUCACUGAAGUUAUCCUAUCAAGUGACUGGUGGUACAAAAGUUGCAAAGACUGUCGGAAGAAAGUUCAAAUGGAAGGCGACACAUAUAAAUGUUCACGUUGCAUCACCACUGUUCCUAUGCCGAGAUACAAAAUAUCACUAAAUGCCAUCGAUGCAGACGCAUAAAGGCACGAGGACUCGCCAUUUGCUCGAUUCAUAUUUUGGGGCCAGCACGGAGAAAUCCUCAUAGGAAAGCAAGUACUGAUUUUAGUAGCAGAAGCCAACAGCAAAGCGGAGCAUACGCCAACAAAGCUGACCGGUUUAGUUGGCAAAAAAAUUACUGUCAUUGCAACACCUACUAGAGACUCCCUCGACGGAGAGCAUAUGUUUUACCAGGUAGAAAGUACCGAACCACUGCUCGAGCCAGCAAACCCAGAGAACGCUCAGGCACCGAUCGAGGAAACACAGCACGAAAAUGAACCACAACACAACACGCUUGGGGCCACACCCCCACCUUCUCCUUCUGCUGCAAAGGAAGAAGAAAACGACUCAACAGGCAAGAGAAGGAAACGCAACGACCACAUUUCCAAUAAAAACAAAAGAGGGCGCGCACAUCUUUUAUCUCUUUACAGAAACGUACAGAGUUAUCCAUAUGGAAUUUCAAGACUAACUUAAUUUUAAUAUCCAAUCUUUUCAGAACAAAGAAAGACCUAUUCGGCCAGCAGCCAGCCCACACUGGCACCGAGUACACCGAGAAGGACUAGGCACAUUGUAUGGCAUAAGGGCAUGGUUAAUAAAAGAACCUGCUGCUGGCUAUAUAGAUGUGCCAUGUCACUUAAAACCAUCAUAAAAGCCCACUAGUACAAUAGACUGGCUAUUAGACCGUCUGCCCCGUGGCUUCAAUUAGUAUUUACUUAUUUAAAGCAUGCAUGCUAUUGGGUUAAGGCUGCAUUCAAAGCUCUUUUCCUCGUGUGCUGUGCUAUAGCCGGGCGAUAGCCCAAGCGCCGGCUCCACUCUCUCUCUUCUUUACUCUAUCUUCCACGUAGGAUUCUCAUUCCUUGGUAACUGUUAUAGCCUGCUGACUAGCCAUUGUUGUACUUGCUCUAAAGCAUGCGAAGAGAAGGAAUGGAUGCAUGCGAGCCUAAAAAAAGACUUAAUACCCUUUAGCUUUUCCCCUCGCGUGCAGAAUAAAAAAACUUUAGACUCCUCCUGCUUUUUCUGCUCUUGUGUAAAAUAAGAAGGCUCUCCAUGCCUUCAGUUCUGUAGCAUGCAAUGCGUUUAG